rnacentral:rRNA from 1 species
CACGCCGUAAACGAUGGAUACUAGCUGUUCGGAGCAAUCUGAGUGGCUAAGCGAAAGUGAUAAGUAUCCCACCUGGGGAGUACGUUCGCAAGAAUGAAACUCAAAGGAAUUGACGGGGGCCCGCACAAGCGGUGGAGCAUGUGGUUUAAUUCGAUGAUACGCGAGGAACCUUACCAGGGCUUAAAUGUAGAUUGACAGGUCUGGAAACAGAUUUUUCUUCGGACAAUUUACAAGGUGC